rnacentral:rRNA from 1 species
GCACAAGCGGUGGAUUAUGUGGAUUAAUUCGAUGCAACGCGAAAAACCUCACCUACCCUUGACAUGCUAGGAAGCUCGCAGAGAUGUGAGUGUGCCCGAAAGGGAACCUAGACACAGGUGCUGCAUGGCUGUCGUCAGCUCGUGUCGUGAGAUGUUGGGUUAAGUCCCGCAACGAGCGCAACCCUUGUCGUUAAUUGCCAUCAUUUGGUUGGGCACUUUAACGAGACUGCCGGUGACAAACCGGAGGAAGGUGGGGAUGACGUCAAGUCCUCAUGGCCCUUAUGGGUAGGGCCUCACACGUAAUACAAUGGCCGGUACAGAGGGCUGCCAACCCGCGAGGGGGAGCUAAUCUCAGAAAGCCGGUCGUAGUCCGGAUUGUUCUCUGCAACUCGAGAGCAUGAAGUUGGAAUCGCUAGUAAUCGCGGAUCAGCAUGUCGCGGUGAAUACGUUCCCGGGUCUUGUACACACCGCCCGUCACACCAUGGGAGUGGGUUCCACCAGAAGUGGGUAGCCUAA